GGGGGGGGCAAGCGUUGUUCGGAAUUACUGGGCGUAAAGGGCGCGUAGGCGGUUUGUUAAGUUGGAUGUGAAAACUGUGGGCUCAACCCAUAGCCUGCAUCCAAUACUGACAGGCUAGAGUUCUGGAGGGGAUAGCGGAAUUCCUGGUGUAGCGGUGAAAUGCGUAGAUAUCAGGAGGAACACCGGUGGCGAAGGCGGCUAUCUGGACAGAGUCUGACGCUGAGGCGCGAAAGCUAGGGGAGCAAACAGGAUUAGAUACCCUGGUAGUCCUAGCCCUAAACGAUGGAUACUUGCUGUGACUGGGAUUGAAUCCAGUCGUGGCGAAGCUAACGCAUUAAGUAUCCCGCCUGGGGAGUACGGUCGCAAGGCUG
rnacentral:rRNA from 1 species